AAGAUUAGAGAAAAAUAAUAUAGCAAGAUUCAAUCAUCAGGAGUCCUUGGCAUAGAUCACUCAUCUAAACUUAAGGGACAUCUGUCUUUCCGCUGAAGAUUUUUAUAAGUCCAGCCAGCAAGAAAGUUCAGAGCACCAAAAAUCUUAACUGUUGCAAGCUUAUUGGCCAACGGUUGCACAGAACUUCAGCUGGAGUAAUUCAAAGGAGCUGCACCAGUUUAUACCAGUUGAGGAUCUGGGUCUAAAAAAUCAGACUUUCUGCUUCAAACAGAUUAUGAUUUUAGGUCCAGUCUUGAGCAAGAGAUGAUAUGUCAGGUGCACCUCCCCAGGAAUAGCACCAGGAAGACUGUGCCUCAAAGAUAUACCUCUAAGUCACAAAUCCUACUCUGCUUUCUCUUUGCUACAAGAGUGGAGCUCGGAGUGAACCAACUGCAUAUUGGAAAAUCCUGGAUGAUGUAAAAAACUUAUUGCAUAGUAAUGAUGUUCUUAUUGAGCAGGCUGGACUGCAUUUCCAUCAGGCAUGGUUUUUCCAUUGUCAUGCACCUGUGUUAUCAUUUACACUUUUGUAAAGUUAGUGCAGAGUGGAUGUAAAAUGCUACCAUUCAGAUUUUUUAAGCAGCUUUUCACAGGUGUAAAUAAAUGACCAAUCUGUACAAGACAGUAGACAAUCAGGCCUGUUAUUUGUAACAGUCAGCUUUGACUGGGCAGCUGAAUCCACUUCUAGCCAUCUGUAAUAAAAAUACAG